CCUACGGGUGGCAGCAGUGGGGAAUAUUGCACAAUGGGGGAAACCCUGAUGCAGCGACGCCGCGUGAGUGAUGAAGUAUUUCGGUUUGUAAAGUCCUUUCAGCAGGGAAGAAAAUGACGGUAUCUGACUAAGAAGCCCCGGCUAACUACGUGCCAGCAGCCGCGGUAAUACGGAGGGGGCAAGCGUUACCCGGAUUCACUGGGUGUAAAGAGUGCGUAGACGGCAGAACAAGUCUGAUGUGAAAUGCCGGGGCUUAACUCCGGAACUGCAUUGGAAACUGUGCAGCUGGAGUGCGGGAGAGGUAGGUGGAAUUCUUGGUGUAGGGGUAAAAUGCGUAGAUAUAAGGAGGAACACUAGUGGCGAAGGCGACUUACUGGAAUGUAACUGACGUUGAGGCUCGAAAGCGUGGGGAGCAAACAGGAUUAGAUACCCGAGUAGUC
rnacentral:rRNA from 1 species